rnacentral:rRNA from 1 species
AAGAUCUUACUCCUACGGGAGCCAGCAGUGGGGAAUAUUGCACAAUGGGGCCAAGCCUGAUGCAGCAACGCCGCGUGAGGGAUGACGGCCUUCGGGUUGUAAACCUCUUUUAGCAGGGAAGAAGCGAGAGUGACGGUACCUGCAGAAAAAGCACCGGCUAACUACGUGCCAGCAGCCGCGGUAAUACGUAGGGUGCAAGCGCUCUCCGGAAUUAUUGGGCGUAAAGAGCUCGUAGGCGGUUUGUCGCGUCUGCUGUGAAAUUCCGAGGCUCAACCUCGGGCUUGCAGUGGGUACGGGCAGACUAGAGUGCGGUAGGGGAGAUUGGAAUUCCUGGUGUAGCGGUGGAAUGCGCAGAUAUCAGGAGGAACACCGAUGGCGAAGGCAGAUCUCUGGGCCGUAACUGACGCUGAGGAGCGAAAGGGUGGGGAGCAAACAGGCUUAGAUACCCUGGUAGUCCACCCCGUAAACGUUGGGAACUAGUUGUGGGGUCCUUUCCACGGAUUCCGUGACGCAGCUAACGCAUUAAGUUCCCCGCCUGGGGAGUACGGCCGCAAGGCUAAAACUCAAAGGAAUUGACGGGGACCCGCACAAGCGGCGGAGCAUGCGGAUAUAGUUCGAUGCAACGCGAAGAACCUUACCAAGGCUUGACAUACACGAGAACGGGCCAGAAAUGGUCAAUUCU